AAGGAAGGAAAGCGGCCUGCCGGGUUCUGUGGAGGGCACGGCGCUCCUCCUCCACAGCCUCCUCCUAUUCCUCCCGCGGGAGGCUCCCGGCGGCCGCACGUGCCGCCCAGCCCAGGCUCCUCCCCUCCUCUGCCCCCGCCCGGGAGCGGCCAGGCGCUGCUUUCUCUCCGCCCGCCGAGAUGGCGCUCGACCCCGCAGGGCAGCAUCUCAGACAUGUUGAAAAGGAUGUUUUGAUCCCUAAAAUAAUGAGAGAAAAAGCCCGAGAGAGAUGUUCUGAACAAGUUCAAGAUUUUACCAAAUGUUGCAAGGACUCUGGAAUCCUUAUGGUAGUAAAAUGCCGGAAAGAAAAUUCUGCAUUGAAAGAAUGCCUAACUGCUCAUUAUAAUGAUCCAGCCUUUUAUGAAGAAUGCAAAAUGGAAUACCUGAAGGAAAGGGAAGAAUUCAGAAAAACUGGAAUUCCUACCAAGAAAAGGCUACAGAAGCUUCCCACAAGCAUGUAGGUGUGUCCCUGCUCUGCUUAGGAAUUAGGUUCCAUCUGGGCAGAAUUUCCAUUUCCUUUUAAAGAAGAUGCAGAUUUUAUUUUCACUAAUAGGAGAUCAAGAGGAAGGAGAGAUUGUACUCCCUGGAGUCAGCUGUGUUCAUUGGUCAGAAUAAAUUCCAGCAUCUGACACCAAUUCCAUUAAUCACAGACAAGCCUGAAUAAGUGAGUAAGAUAAUAGAAAGACAAAAAUAUCUGGUGAACAGUGAACAUUGUUUAUGUAUGUAUGCUAUUCAGUUAAUAUAUUAGAGAUCUGAGAUACUCUUUUGAGUUCAAGAUAUUUGAAACUAUCAAAAAGGAUAAAGGCCUCCUACAUGAAACACUUUAUCUCAGGCAAAAGAUGUAUAAGCCAACUAAUACAUUAUAUUACUAAUAUGUUUAUACCACCACCCUGUAAGAAUUUAGAUAGAUUUCUGUGUGAAGCCAUCCUUGUUAUAUGCUUGUUUAUAAAUGAUAGGCCACUUAGAAUCAAAGUCUGGGGACAUUUCAUGAUUGUACUAUAUCAGUACAGCACAGAAUUUGGUUUAUAGAAUUACAUUUCCUAAUUUGGUUAAGGAAAAACACUAUCUCAAUGAGUAAAAUGUUACAUUUCAAAUAAACAAACAAUUUAUAAAUUGCUCUACAUAACUAGCAGGUACAGACCCUGAUGAAAAUGACUUUAUCCAGUUACAUACUUAGAUUUUCAUUAUGGACCACUGAUGGCACAGAUUUAGACUAAAACCUUUGUGGUGCUCUUUCUACUUCUCAUUGAAUACUAUAGAAAUAUAAUAGUUCACACACAUUUUCACUUUUCAGUUAGGAUUUGAGGACAAAGUUGGCUUCGAUGAUCAGGUUAUUUCAAGUCUUAACACUGAUUUAAAAAGUCUUAAACUUUGAAAACACAAUAGCAUACGGAGAUGGAAUAACCUAGAAGAGAUGCUAUUAUUUAACCAUAACACUUUUUGUCUUUAUUCAGUAGAAGGUCAACAGAAACAUAACUUACUCAUUUUGCCAUUUGCUCUUUUUGCAACUUAAAGCAACUUAUAAUUUGUCUCAUAUUAAUGGCCUCUUAUUUUUACGAAUGGAUAUUUACACAUUUCACAUGCUUUAUAAAACCAUGUCCAAGAAAUUUUAAUUCCA